AAACUAUAAUAAAAAGUACUGUGUUAAAAUAAAAAACAAACAUAAGUAACAAGGCAGUUAACGUUAUUAAAAAAAAAAACAAAUACAAAUUUAAAUUUAAAUUAUUUGAUGAAAAAAAAUAAUUUGAGGAGAUUUUCAAAGAUUUUCAUUUCUGUUACUUUUGCUCCAGAUUCAGAUGCAGUUUAUUAAAAAUUUAGGUACGAACCAGAACUUUUUAAUGAUAAAUUAACGUAAAAUUGGUCUACUCAAACUCGAAAAGCUUUUCACUUAAUAUAACAUUGGAAGCGUCCAACGAUCGUCAAAAAAAGCAUUUUAAGAACGAUUUUUUAAAAUAAUGAAGAAACAUAGAAAAUAGUCUGAUCUUUGGACUGAGACUUCACCAAAUCAUAUACAUAAAUGCUGUUUUUCAAAAUUUUAAAUGAAUGCAGUUUUUCAACAAUCAUAAUAAGAACUAAAUAUUUAAUUGAUGGCUGGAUGAUUCUAAAAAAUCAUGUUUUUUAAAACUUAUGCAAUGUUAGCACCUUGAAAAACACGCAGCCAGCAGCAGCAGACUUCGGGUGCGGGUCUAAUGAAAACAUUGUGUUCCACAAAAAAAGAUGUCAUCCAACAAUAACAACAACAAACAACUAAAAAAAAAAAAAUCUAAUAAUAAAAAAAUAAAAGUUUAUGGUUUCGUCACGCCAGGGGAUGAA